GGAUUCCCUAGUAACGGCGAGUGAAGCGGGAAGAGCUCAAAUUUAAAAUCUGGCAGUGUCAUGCUGUCCGAGUUGUAGUCUAGAGAAGCAUCAUCCGCGCUGGACCAUGUACAAGUCUCUUGGAACAGAGCGUCAUAGAGGGUGAGAAUCCCGUCCUUGACAUGGACUCCCAGUGCUUUGUGUUGUGCUCUCAACGAGUCGAGUUGUUUGGGAAUGCAGCUCAAAAUGGGUGGUAAAUUCCAUCUAAAGCUAAAUAUUGGCGAGAGACCGAUAGCGAACAAGUACCGUGAGGGAAAGAUGAAAAGCACUUUGGAGAGAGAGUUAAACAGUACGUGAAAUUGUUGAAAUGGAAACGCUUGAAGUCAGUCGCGUUCUCUGGGACUCAGCCUUGCUUUUGCUUGGUGUAUUUCCUGGUCUACGGGCCAGCAUGGAUUUUGACCGAUGGAAAAAGAUUUGGGGAAUGUGGCACCUCCGGGUGUGUUAUAGCCCCUUGUCAUAUACAUUGGUUGGGAUUGAGGUCUUAGUGCACGCUUCGGUUGUGCUUUGAUGCUGGCGUAAUGGCUUUAAACGACCCGUCUUGAAACACGGACCAAGGAGUCUAACAUGUCUGCAAGUGUUUGGGUGCAAAACCCGAGCGCGUAAUGAAAGUGAUAGUUGGGAACCUCUCCAGGGGGGCACCGACGCCCGGACCAGACCUUCUGUGACGGAUCCGAGGUAGAGCAUAUAUGUUGGGACCCGAAAGAUGGUGAACUAUGCCUGCAUAGGGUGAAGCCAGAGGAAACUCUGGUGGAGGCUCGUAGCGAUUCUGACGUGCAAAUCGAUCGUCAAAUGUGGGUAUAGGGGCG
rnacentral:rRNA from 2 species